AAGUUGCUGAAAUUUUGAAAAUAGUUGUGAUUGCUUGACUUUCGUGCUGAUUUUAUCCAUGUUUAGUCUAUCAUUUUAAGAUUUGCUUGGAAUGGUUUUGUUCUACUCUUUAAGAUCUACAUUUUUGCUUUUUAUUUCAUUUGAUUUCAUGUAUUGUGGAUGGAGUUAUGUGAGCUUGAAGUUACUGUGUUAGAUGCAUGGAGUUAGGGUUUUUGAGUUGUGCGAGAGCUUGGUGUGAGGUUGAAGAUGAUAACG
rnacentral:lncRNA from 1 species